UAGGGAAUAUUGGACAAUGGGGGCAACCCUGAUCCAGCCAUGCCGCGUGAGUGAAGAAGGCCCUCGGGUUGUAAAGCUCUUUUGUCCGGAAAGAAAGGCAUUCGGUGAAUACCCGGAUGUUCUGACGGUACCGGAAGAAUAAGCACCGGCUAACUUCGUGCCAGCAGCCGCGGUAAUACGAAGGGUGCAAGCGUUACUCGGAAUUACUGGGCGUAAAGCGUGCGUAGGUGGUUGUUUAAGUCUGAUGUGAAAGCCCUGGGCUCAACCUGGGAAUGGCAUUGGAAACUGGGCAGCUAGAGUGCGGUAGAGGGGAGUGGAAUUCCCGGUGUAGCAGUGAAAUGCGUAGAGAUCGGGAGGAACAUCUGUGGCGAAGGCGACUGCCUGGACCAGCACUGACACUGAGGCACGAAAGCGUGGGGAGCAAACA
rnacentral:rRNA from 1 species